rnacentral:rRNA from 1 species
UACGAAGGGGGCUAGCGUUGCUCGGAUUGACUGGGCGUAAAGGGCGCGUAGGCGGUUCGUACAGUCAGACGUGAAAUUCCUGGGCUCAACCUGGGGGCUGCGUUUGAUACGUGCGGACUUGAGUGCGGAAGAGGGUCGCGGAAUUCCCAGUGUAGAGGUGAAAUUCGUAGAUAUUGGGAAGAACACCGGUGGCGAAGGCGGCGACCUGGUCCGAUACUGACGCUGAGGCGCGAAAGCGUGGGGAGCAAACAGG